GGAGGAGUGGCCGAGAGGACUAAGGCGGCGGUCUUGAAAACCGCUUCUCGUUCUGCGAGACGUGGGUUCGAAUCCUACCUCCUCCGCCA
rnacentral:tRNA from 1 species